UUAUUAAUCAUAAAUAUGAUGUUUAUAUAUAAGAGCUAUUUUAUGAUUAUUGUGUUCCCUAUUUGUUUCACUGUUUGUGUAUUUGGAUUUCUCUAUUUGAAAAUUUAUAUUGUACAAAUUCUCAAUUUUGUGAUAUGCUAAUUAACAUUUGAUCCAUCCUUUUUAUUAUUUUAUUGGUUAUACAUUUUAUCAUUGUUAUUUUGCUAGUUACAAAUAAAUUCAUUGCAAUUUUACGACAUCGUUCACUAAUAGUUGGUUCACAUUAGCUAAUGGUUUGAGAAUAGGCAUCAAAAGUGAAAGUGGAAGUUCUCAGCUAAGGCCAAAAUCAUGUGGCUAGUC
rnacentral:lncRNA from 1 species